rnacentral:rRNA from 1 species
CCUACGGGUGGCUGCAGUGGGGAAUAUUGGACAAUGGGGGCAACCCUGAUCCAGCCAUGCCGCGUGUGUGAAGAAGGCCCUCGGGUUGUAAAGCACUUUCAGUGAGGAAGAACGCCUGGUGGUUAAUACCCAUCAGGAAAGACAUCACUCACAGAAGAAGCACCGGCUAACUCCGUGCCAGCAGCCGCGGUAAUACGGAGGGUGCGAGCGUUAAUCGGAAUUACUGGGCGUAAAGCGCGCGUAGGUGGCUUGAUAAGCCGGUUGUGAAAGCCCCGGGCUCAACCUGGGAACGGCAUCCGGAACUGUCAAGCUAGAGUGCAGGAGAGGAAGGUAGAAUUCCCGGUGUAGCGGUGAAAUGCGUAGAGGUCGGGAGGAAUACCAGUGGCGAAGGCGGCCUUCUGGACUGACACUGACACUGAGGUGCGAAAGCGUGGGUAGCAAACAGGAUUAGAUACCCGAGUAGUC